CUACGGGACGCUCCAGUCGAGAAUCUUCCGCAAUGGACGAAAGUCUGACGGAGCGACGCCGCGUGCGGGAUGAAGGCCUUCGGGUUGUAAACCGCUGUCAGUGGGGAGGAAAUGCAUCAGGGUUCUCCCUGGUGUUUGACCGAUCCGCAGAGGAAGCGCAGGCUAAGUUCGUGCCAGCAGCCGCGGUAACACGAACUGCGCGAACGUUAUUCGGAAUCACUGGGCUUAAAGAGUUCGUAGGCGGCCUUUCAAGUCGGGUGUGAAAUCCCUCGGCUCAACCGAGGAAUUGCGCCUGAUACUGUUGGGCUUGAGGGGGAUAGGGGUGAGCGGAACUGAUGGUGGAGCGGUGAAAUGCGUUGAUAUCAUCAGGAACACCGGUGGCGAAGGCGGCUCACUGGAUCUCUUCUGACGCUGAGGAACGAAAGCUAGGGGAGCGAACGGGAUUAGAUACCCUGGUAGUC
rnacentral:rRNA from 1 species